GACGAACGCUGGCGGCGUGCCUAAUACAUGCAAGUAGAACGCACAGUUUAUACCGUAGCUUGCUACACCAUAAACUGUGAGUUGCGAACGGGUGAGUAACGCGUAGGUAACCUGCCUGGUAGCGGGGGAUAACUAUUGGAAACGAUAGCUAAUACCGCAUAAUAUUGAUUAUUGCAUGAUAAUUGAUUGAAAGAUGCUAUUGCAUCACUACCAGAUGGACCUGCGUUGUAUUAGCUAGUAGGUGAGGUAACGGCUCACCUAGGCGACGAUACAUAGCCGACCUGGUAAGGUGAUCGGCCACACUGGGACUGAGACACGGCCCAGACUCCUACGGGAGGCAGCAGUAGGGAAUCUUCGGCAAUGGACGAAAGUCUGACCGAGCAACGCCGCGUGAGUGAAGAAGGUUUUCGGAUCGUAAAGCUCUGUUGUAAGAGAAGAACGGGUGUGAGAGUGGAAAGUUCACACUGUGACGGUAUCUUACCAGAAAGGGACGGCUAACUACGUG
rnacentral:rRNA from 1 species